rnacentral:rRNA from 1 species
AACACGUGAGUAACCUGCCCUUGACUCUGGGAUAAGCCUGGGAAACUGGGUCUAAUACCGGAUAUGACUCCUCAUCGCAUGGUGGGGGGUGGAAAGCUUUUGUGGUUUUGGAUGGACUCGCGGCCUAUCAGCUUGUUGGUGGGGUAAUGGCCUACCAAGGCGACGACGGGUAGCCGGCCUGAGAGGGUGACCGGCCACACUGGGACUGAGACACGGCCCAGACUCCUACGGGAGGCAGCAGUGGGGAAUAUUGCACAAUGGGCGCAAGCCUGAUGCAGCGACGCCGCGUGAGGGAUGACGGCCUUCGGGUUGUAAACCUCUUUCAGUAGGGAAGAAGCGAAAGUGACGGUACCUGCAGAAGAAGCGCCGGCUAACUACGUGCCAGCAGCCGCGGUAAUACGUAGGGCGCAAGCGUUAUCCGGAAUUAUUGGGCGUAAAGAGCUCGUAGGCGGUUUGUCGCGUCUGCUGUGAAAGACCGGGGCUCAACUCCGGUUCUGCAGUGGGUACGGGCAGACUAGAGUGCAGUAGGGGAGACUGGAAUUCCUGGUGUAGCGGUGAAAUGCGCAGAUAUCAGGAGG